CGAAUGGGGAGAUUCAUCGUCAGCUCAUUUUGUAUAUGUAUAAGUUAUGAUGCGGGUUACUACUUGUAGUAUUGCCUGCACAUUCUUGUAUAUUUAGUUGCAAGAUGUUGUCGGCGUGCACUUCUCCCCUAGUAGGACGUCGCGACCUGUUGGGUGUCGGUCUACGGCCCAAGUGAUAGCCUUUAAUGUAAUUUAAAAAACAUUGAAGAUCCUUGGUGUUUUCUGACCGGCUACUUGGCAGUAUUCGUACGGUAUUUAGCCGCUAAAUUUAUUAAGCGUCCAUAUCCAUCACAAGCGAGGCUAAUUUACUGAUAGUACGGACCUAGUGCCGUCGUUGGUAUUGGCCAGCUGUUGGUUGA
rnacentral:rRNA from 2 species